GGACUCCGACCGCCUCGCAGGUCGCCGGCUGCGUUUGCGGGCUGCCGCUGCUACGCAACCACACACAGGUGCCGUCCGCACGUCGAUCAACUGAUCGAGGGCGCUCUUGGAACGCCAGUUCCUCGCGCCAAUAGAAGACUGCGCCGCACGCCAACGAGUCCACCUCAACCACUGCCCACAACAUUUAUCACCGUCUAUCGUCAGCGCUGAACAGGUCGUCUGCAUAGUACCUCGACGCCGCUCGCCAUGUCGCCGCUGGGAGGCCGCUCCCCCGGUGUCACGCUGACGUGGCGCGACGUCUCGGUGUACGCCGUCUCGCGGGGCGGCUUCUGGAGGCGCAGCCUCCAACACCGGCGCAUCGUCAACGGCGUGACUGGAGUGGUGCGACCCGGAACCCUCGUGGCGAUGCUGGGAGGCAGCGGCGCCGGUAAGACGACGCUCAUGGCGGCGCUGGCUCACCGAUCACCAGCCGGCACGCUGGUGGACGGCGACAUCCGCGUGAACGGCCACCCGGUGGGUCCCGGCAUGCGGCGCCUCAGCGGCUACAUGCACCAGCACGAGCUCUUCGUCGGCAGCCUCACCGUGCGCGAGCACCUCACGCUCAUGGCGCGGCUGAAGAUGGACCGCCGGACGCACAGCAGCACCCGCGACCGGCAGCUGCAGCAGCUGCUGGCGCAGCUGGGGCUGGAGGACCGUGCUGACGCGCGCAUCGACGGCGCCCUGUCCGGCGGCGAGCGGAAGAGGCUCGCCUUCGCGGCAGAGCUGAUGACCGACCCGCUGCUGCUGUUCUGCGACGAGCCGACCACCGGCCUGGACUCGUUCUCGGCGCAGAAGCUGGUGCACAUGCUGCGCCAGAUGGCCGACCAGGGCCGCACCGUGCUGUGCACCAUCCACCAGCCGUCCAGCGAGGUGCUCGACCUCUUCCACGAGGUCAUCCUGCUCGCCGACGGGCGCGUCGCCUUCGCGGGCGACCUCUCUGCCGCGCUGUCCUUCUUCAGCAGCCUGGGGCUGGAGUGCCCGCCUCUCUACAACCCGGCCGACUUCCUGGUGUGCGCCGUGUCGGGCGGCCCCGGCCGGGACGACGCGGCUCGCCGCCUGUGCGACCAGUUCGCCGCCAGCGACGCCGCCGCCCAGCUGCUGGCCGACGUCAGCCUCGAGGAGCUGCCGCCGGGGCUCGCCCGCUCCAAGCCCUGCCUGCUGGUCGAAGACACGGAGAUACUUGGAGAGACGUCGGAAAAGUUCAAGGCGCCCUUCUUCACGACGUCGCUGCUGUGGCUGACGUGGCGCUACUUCCUGCACGCCAUCAGGGACCCCACCGUGCAGAACCUGCGCAUCCUGCAGAAGAUCGCGAUCGCGGCCAUGGCGGGCCUGUGCUACCUGGGCACAGAGGCGCGCACGCAGCUGGGCGUGCAGUCGGUGCAGGGCGCGCUCUUCAUUGUGGUGGCCGAGAACACCUUCUCGCCCAUGUACGCCGCGCUGGCCGCCAUCCCGCAGGAGCUGCCGCUGCUCAGGAGGGAGUACCGCAGCGGCCUCUACUCGCCGCCCACCUACUACGUCGCUAGGCUGCUCGCAGCGCUGCCGGGCCUGCUGGUGGAGCCGGUGCUGUUCGUGCUGACCGCCUACUGGCUGGUGGGGCUGCGCGACUCGUGGCACGCCGUCGCCAUGACGCUGCUCGUCGUGACGCUGGCGCUCAACGUCUCCACCGCCUGCGGCUGCUUCUUCGGCUCGGCUUUCGACUCGGUGUCUACAGCGAUGGCGUAUCUGGUGCCUUUCGACUACGUGCUCAUGAUCAUGUCUGGGCUCUUCGUAAACCUCAGCACGCUGCCCCUGGCGGUCGAGUGGAUGCAGUACCUGUCCUGGCUCAUGUACGCCAACGAAGCGCUCUCCGUCGUCCAAUGGGAAGGCGUCACAAACAUCACUUGCGAUGGAGCGCCGGAGGGCGUGCCAUGCCUCAGCUCGGGCCGCGAGGUGCUGGACAAGUACAACUUCUCGGCGGACCGCCUCUCCAGCGACCUGGCGUGCAUGGCCGGGCUGUGGGGCGGCUUCCACCUGCUGGCCAUCGUCUGCCUCUGGGUGCGCGUCCGUUCCAACUGACCGCCGUGCUGAGGCACUGGUGGAAAAACGGACUGCCUACGACGGUCAGUGCUACACUGUUACAAUAUCGGUUCACACGCACCGUUCCUGCUUCGCCUCUCGUGGCUGCCACACUGCUCGCGGUUGUGGUCUGCCACGCAGAAGACAGCGUCUGGAACCGCCGUCUUCGACUACAGACUGUGACAUAUGUGCCAAAUUCUACGACAGGGGUAUCUCGAGCUGUGGUCCGAGUACUCAUCCAACAAAGAGGGAUCAUUCCUUUACUGUUGCCAUGCUUGCAGACAAUGGUUGCUCUGAGCUUUAAUACCAGAGGCACCCGUCGAUAAAAGGAGUAUUAGUAUAAAAACGCUUGUGAGGUACCACGAAAUAUUACGAAUUUGAUCUCUCUAUUAACUCCUGUUCAUACUUGUUUAAAUAUGAACUAUUUUAGCCAAAUGCAACAGAUACGACUGCGGCGUAACGUAUUAAGCUAUACAACUCUGACAUAUCUGCUUCAUGUAGAUGAAAGAAAUGUUAGAUUUUUAUAGAGAAAAGAGACUGUUAUUUAUUGCCACUAACAAGUAAGUUAUAUGGAGAUUUUCGUCUCAUACAGCGCCUGUUAUUUAUUGCCACUAAGAAGUAAGUCAUAUGGAGAUUUUCGUCUCAUACAGCGCUAAAGAAAUUUUUGGGAAAUGAUUUGGAGAAAGUGUGAGCCUAAUUAUUCAUUAUAUUUUCGUGUAUGUAAUUUUAUGACGCCAUUAUAAUAUAAAAUAAAAUAAAUCUGUUCCAGGUAUCAGUUGAUACCACUUUCAAACCCACCGAAGUGCAAUAUAC